UCAACGAGAACAGAAAUCUCG
rnacentral:snRNA from 1 species